GAACAUUUUCAUACAUGGAGCUAAAAUGGCGGCCUCCCUACAUUCACCGGUCUAGCAGUUCUACAAGGUGUCU